rnacentral:lncRNA from 1 species
GGGAGGGCUGAGGCCCAGGGUGGGGCGGGGCAGACUCACCACCACCCCGGGAGGCUGCCCUUGCAUUCAGGGUUGCACACACCUGCUGUGGCACAGAGCCUUGGGUGUCCGUUUUCCAGGACGGGGACGGCCUGCAGGUCAGGAGAGGAUGCUGGAGGCAGGCGUCCCCCCGGCAUGCAGGGUCGUCCGCACACUCUGAGCUCGCAGGCCUGCAGUGACCUUCCCAGGUGGUGGGCUGUGCCUGGCGUGGGCAUCCCUGCCCAACGUCCUCCAGUCUGUGUGCGCUUCUCCAUGUCCUGCCUCUGGCUGUGACGGGGCCACUGGAUAUCCCUCCCUCUCAGUUUUACACGAGCAUCUCAGAGCAUCUCAGCCCUGUGCCAGCCCCCAGACCCCAAGGCCGAGGGUUCUAGAUGCUUCUGUGUGGCCCCCGCAGGCAGCGUUUCCCCUUCUGCUGGGCGGAGGGGCGGCUCUCUGCAGUGUCCACGCCAUCUGCGGCCAGUGCCAAAGCUCUCAUGGUGUCUGCUGUGGCCGGUGGGAAACGUUCAAAUCCGCUUCCCCCUGAGUUUUCCUCAAAAACUCCUGAAUGUUUGAGUGAGGGUCCUGCUGGUUUUUUGGCCUGUAAGAUGCUUUGAAAAUGUUUAUUUUUAAAACACAAAAGGAGAUGUCUGUAGCAGCAAUUGCCUACAGGUUAAAAUGUCACCAGUUGAAGCAGUGACUGACUGUGCCGUGUGCGGGAGCAUUCAAGGUUCUGUCAGUGUGGUGACUCUAAAUCAAUAAACCGCUCGCGGAUCCAGUGUGGCCUCGUGAAUGGAGUCAGAGUGGGGCCCAGGCCAGAGUGGAGCAUUGGUCCCUGUCCUCAUUUCACCUCGGUGGGGGGACCCUGGGAGGGGCUGGCUCCAGGCACUGGCCUCUGCCCUGACACAUCCACAUGCCCUGGGCUGGGCCGGCACCAGGUCCCUUGAUACAGCUUGGCCCCUGAGAGACCUCGGUGGCUCGCUCAGGCUCCCCCAGAACAGACCAGCCCUGGGGACAGUGACUGCCCUGUGCCAGCAGGGCCAGGCCAGCGUGGGCUGGCGCCUGACCCCGAGUCCUGGGCUCCCUGCAGGCGAGUCUGUGUCACAUCUUGGUGCCUUGGUCUCUGCCAGUUCACACAGAAUGCCUCGAAAGGAUGGGAAGGAUCUCAUUUAACGGCCAAGAGAAGUGUUUCAAGGAAAACCGAGAGCACAUGGGUCACUUGCAGGACAAUCCGCCUAUUUCUGUGGUUCUGAGAAGGAGCUGAGAAGUGACAGGGAGAAGGCGCCCGUGUCCCUCUGAAGAGUCCCUGGAAUUGCCAUCAGAGGCGGGGCCACAGGAGCUGUUUCACGGGCCCAGCUGUUGCCCCGGCCGAGUGAGCUCUGCGCCCUGAGUGCCGGACACAGCCGUCCAGCAGGGAGAGGCCAGAAGUUCUUAACAGCCCCACGAGCAGUGGUACUUCUAAUGGAAAAAUACAUGAAGAUCACUUUUCC